CGAUAUCAUUUCAGGAAAAAGCAGAACUAGUUCUGCUUAAAUAAAAGCGUUUCGGAAAUGUUUACGCGUUUAAUAACAACAACGCUCGUUAUAAAAGGCGAUGAGUCCUGGCGAGAAAUUAUCUCUUUCUUCAGAAAGCAACAAAAUGAAUAAGUCAGCGCUUCUCCUCUUGCUUGUCAUCGGAAUUGUAUUGAUUGUAUCUCCGAAUGCAGAUACGGGUGUUUUAGCUGCAAGUACUCGUCGUCGUAGACGUUGGGUUUAUGGCCAUAAGGUUCAAAGCGGUGCUCCAGUCACUCGUCGUCGUAGACGUUGGGUUUAUGGCCAUAAAGAUCAAAAUGUUCAAGAAUUGAUGGAAGACCAAAUAAAUCGACAAUAGUCAAACGACUUGAAAUGCCCAAUACUUACUGUCAAUAUCAAUAAAACAAGAUACAUAUA